rnacentral:rRNA from 1 species
GAUAACCCGUUGAAAGACGGACUAAUACCGUAUGACGUCGUUUGCUGACAUCAAAUAACGAUUAAAGGUUUAGCGGUGAUGGAUGGGGAUGCGUCUGAUUAGCUUGUUGGCGGGGUAACGGGCCCACCAAGGCGACGAUCAGUAGGGGUUCUGAGAGGAAGGUCCCCCACAUUGGAACUGAGACACGGUCCAA